ACGACCAGGUUCUUGCCUGUGAGUUACAUGCUAGCACGUGUGACCAGGUAGACCCAACAGGGACCCAAGCUCAGCCUGAGUAUGGCUAUAGCUGAAUGAGUGUGGGUGUAGUUUUGUUAGGAAACUGUUCAGAAACUGUUAAAUCAUGGAUAGAGGAGAAUAGUUUGCCUAUCUUAGGUUUUGCUUGAGAAGGUCGAGAUAGUUAAAUCAUGUUUAUAUUCUUGACUUCUGUGGUGUUUGUGAGAAGUGGGAGUUUUGAGCAAAUAGACAGAUGGAAAAAGUUUGGCAUUUGUCAGGAAAAUAACAUCAGGAUUUGUUAACAUUCUUAUCAACUGUGGGAUGAGAGAGUCCCAUCAAGGUUGCUGAAUAUGAUUUUGUUGAUGAGAAGUAUUUUACUGUAUGCAGAGGUAGCAUGCUUUGGCACCCCAUCCAGGUCGGAAUUCUUGUGGAUGUAACCUGGGCUGUCAUCUUACUCUCAUACAUUUGGCUUUCGGCAGAUCCUGUGUUCUUUUUUUCUCUAUUAGUUACUUGGUCCAUCAAAUUCAGCUUGUUGCUAUCUAAAAACUGAGUAUCAAUUCUCUUGAUAUUUUAUUUAUUAUAUUCUGUGGAUCCAUCAAUUGUUCUGAAAGUCACAUGUUCAAGGAUUUAUAGAAUCCCUGAACCUAUGGCAUUCACUCUCAUGCAGAUGUGACAGAACCAUUGUUGAUAGAGGUUGAUCAGAUAUAUCAUUUAGCUUGCCCAGCUUCUCCAAUCUUCUACAAAUACAAUCCUGUUAAGGUUGGUUUGUUGAAUUUGGAAAGUGAGGACUUCACCAAUAAAGUAGUAGACACUACGCAAACUAGUUUACAGGUUUGCCAUAUAGAAAAGAUUUUUCCACCGGCUUUUUUUGAUAUUAUAUUGCAUUUGCCCAUUCAUCUAGUGGGCGAGGCCAAAAUAGCAGGACCGGUACAAUAUCGAUGGAUGUACCCCAUCAAGAGGUGCGUGCUAAUGUUUAUAAAUUAAAUUUAUUUUUCAUUCUAUUCCAAUCACGCUAAUCGACCAUAUAUUUCUAAACUGUUUAAUAUUGGUGACCAUAGGUACCUGCUCAUACUGAAGUUAUAUGUACGCAAUAGAAGUCGGCCCGAGGGUUCAAUUGCAGAAGAGUACUUGGUAGAAGAAUGCUCAACUUUCUGCUCGAGGUACUUAUAUAAUGUAGAGACAAAGUUUGACUGACCAAUACGGAAUGAUGACUGUGGUAACACCGUUAUAGAACAAUCAUCUAUUUUUCUACGAAUAGGUCAUGCAUUAGGGAAGCUUGAGGAUUGUGUACUGGAUAAAGUUGCAAUUACACAGGCACAUCGAUAUGAUCUGUUUAACAGUAGCGCACUCAUCCCAUUUCUUGAGUAAGACAACUAUGACACUUAAUUUAUACAUGUGGAAAACAACUUACCACCAUGUUUCUUACUGGAACCAAUUCAUAUGUAGAGAACACAAGAAUGUUGUUAAGCAGAAGAAUCUUCGCGCACGACCAAGGGAUAUAGAACGCAUUCACAUUUCAUAAAUGGUUUAGCGAUCAUGUAAGUAGUCAACGCAAUAAGUUGACUGACAUGUGCAUGUUCAUUUAUUUUCAUGUAACAUUUUUUAUAUUCGAAUAAGUUGAACAGUUGCGCCACGCAAAGAAUGAGCAGGUCUCAGAAGACCUUAGAUGGCUAACUCGGGGUCCUAAUAUGGCAAGAAGAUAUAAGAGUUUUAUAGUAAAUGGCUUCAGGUUUCACACUAAAGAUCGAGAGAAGAAAAGAAAAACUCAAUAUAGUGGAGUUGUGGUGAUUGUAAAGACAUUAAGCUUUGCGAGUGUUAAUGACAAAAACCAUAUUGCAGGAGAUGUAACUUACUAUGCUGUCUUGACAGACAUCAUUGAACUGGAAUAUUGUGGUGAUCGGAAGGUUGUAUUAUUUAGAUGUGAUUGAGUUGAUGUUCUAUCUCAGGGCAGGGGUGUAAAGAAAGGAUAAAUUUGGGUUCACGCUCGUGAAUUUUAAACGGCUAUGCCAUACCGGUCAACAGUUGUUUGAUGAACCAUUUGUGUUCGCAUCUCAAGUUGAGCAGGUGUUCUAUGUGCAAGACCCCGUCGAGAAAGAUUGGCAUGUUGUAGUGAGGACGAAACCUAGGGAUUUGUUUGAGAUGCAUGGGGAAGAGUCUGCAAAUGAUGUUGACACCAACUUAGAGAGUUCGUCAUGCAAUGGUCAAAGUUUGGAGGACUCGAGUGAUGACAUUAUUAGUUGGGAAAGGAUAGAUAUCUGUGGUACAACAAUUCUCACACCUUUACUACCUGCCCAAAAUAUGGUAGAUGAUCAAAUAGAUGAUACCGAUUUUUCUGAUCCCUAUGGAGAUGACAUUAUGUACAAUAAUUGAUUUCUUAUGUACCAUAUUGUCCUGAUAUAUAAAAAAGAAAUUCAAAUGUCUUUUUU